rnacentral:rRNA from 1 species
AAACCAACCGGGAUUGCCUUAGUAACGGCGAGUGAAGCGGCAAAAGCUCAAAUUUGAAAUCUGGUACCUUCGGUGCCCGAGUUGUAAUUUGGAGAGGGCAACUUUGGGGCCGUUCCUUGUCUAUGUUCCUUGGAACAGGACGUCAUAGAGGGUGAGAAUCCCGUGUGGCGAGGAGUGCGGUUCUUUGUAAAGUGCCUUCGAAGAGUCGAGUUGUUUGGGAAUGCAGCUCUAAGUGGGUGGUAAAUUCCAUCUAAAGCUAAAUAUUGGCGAGAGACCGAUAGCGAACAAGUACAGUGAUGGAAAGAUGAAAAGAACUUUGAAAAGAGAGUGAAAAAGUACGUGAAAUUGUUGAAAGGGAAGGGCAUUUGAUCAGACAUGGUGUUUUGUGCCCUCUGCUCCUUGUGGGUAGGGGAAUCUCGCAUUUCACUGGGCCAGCAUCAGUUUUGGUGGCAGGAUAAAUCCAUAGGAAUGUAGCUUGCCUCGGUAAGUAUUAUAGCCUGUGGGAAUACU